CAUUGAGCCUCAGUCGACCAACUUCUCUAGUUGAAUACAAAUCGCCAACUAUAGAAAAGUAUUCACAUAUAUCUAUUCCGUAAAAUUGUCUUGAGCCAAAAGCAAAGCAUUUAUUUUAUAAAUUCAUAUUCACAGACUAAAGAAGCCAAAUGAUGUACUCGGACAACGAUGCGUAUACCGGGGGCACGGCCAGGCAAGAGACAACUAGAUCUAUGCCGGGCAUAGCUAGACGACCACAUGGUUUCACAUCCCUGCAAUUGCUAAAGCAGAACAAAGAGAAGAAAGCUAGACGCAUGCAGCUAGCCCAGGAGAAUUUGGAGAUGGAAUCAGAAAUGGUCAACAUGUCCACGCAGACGGACAGCUCGAUUGUAAUGCUCUGGAUGCACGAAUUGAUGGGCUCACUGCGUCCGAUGGUGCCGCGGAGUCGUGUCUGCGGCUGCAUCUGGUACGAUUAUUUUACUGGAAGGCAUAUUCGUACCACAUUCUAUUUGGUUCUGGUUGUCGCUGUCAUCGUAUUGAAUUUGGAUGUGCUCUUGAGCAUUUGCGAAAAGUGCAAGAAAUUGUCGAAAUUUUAGUUCAGUUUUUGUUUCUCCAAUGAGUCCACAAAUCGUUUGCCUCAACAAAUAUUUGUUGGCAUAAUAUCAACUGGUCUGUGUUCGAUAUACAUAUAUAGUAGAGAUGUACGCGGGCCGGCUUCUUAAGGCACGAAGAGCACGAACACGCACGAAAAAACUUUAACAAAGCACUGUCCAGCUAAACACGGUCGGGAAAAGAAAAUUUACAAUUAUUCGCUUUUCAUAAUUUA